CAAUGGUCUCUGCUGAAACUUUGUAAAGUUGGCAUUUUGACCUCUUUGAACUAGUUUGUCCUGCAUUACAUAUUGGACAUUGAAGCAAUUAAUGAGGCACAAUUUGGACGUCACGUCCAUUCUCUACCUGUGCUGGAGGGUAUCAGGGCACUCUCCUCUCAUGCUGUUGCAGCAUCAUGGGUUGCCAUGGCAAUGGUUUCUGCUGACACUUUUUGUAAGCUAGCAUUUGAAACUCCUUUAGACACGUUUGUCUGGCAUUUCAUACUGUUCGUUAAAACAGUCUAUGAUGCACAAUUUGGUACUCAAGUACUUAACUCAG